rnacentral:rRNA from 1 species
GAUGAACGCUGGCGGCGUGCCUAACACAUUCAAGUCGAACGGGGUUAUUACGAAUGAAGCUUCGGCAGAUUUGUUUAACCAGUGGCGGACGGGUGAGUAACGCGUGAGCAACCUGCCUUUGCAACCGGGAUAACAGUUGGAAACGACUGCUAAUACCGGAUAACACACAUUGGUCGCAUGUCCGAUGUGUCAAAGAUCCGUUGUGCAAAGAUGGAUUCGCGUCUGAUUAGCUAGUUGGUGGGGUAACGGCUCACCAAGGCGACGAUCAGUAGCCGGCCUGAGAGGGUGACCGGCCACAUUGGGACUGAGAUACGGCCCAGACUCCUACGGGAGGCAGCAGUGGGGAAUAUUGCACAAUGGGGGAAACCCUGAUGCAGCAACGCCGCGUGAAGGAUGACGGUCUUCGGAUUGUAAACUUCUUUUCUCAAGGACGAUAAUGACGGUACUUGUGGAAUAAGCCACGGCUAACUACGUG